CCUACGGGGGGCAGCAGUGGGGAAUAUUGGACAAUGGGGGGAACCCUGAUCCAGCCAUGCCGCGUGUGUGAAGAGGGCCCUCGGGUUGUAAAGCACUUUCAGUGAGGAAGAACGCCUGGUGGUUAAUACCCAUCAGGAAAGACAUCACUCACAGAAGAAGCACCGGCUAACUCCGUGCCAGCAGCCGCGGUAAUACGGAGGGUGCGAGCGUUAAUCGGAAUUACUGGGCGUAAAGCGCGCGUAGGUGGCUUGAUAAGCCGGUUGUGAAAGCCCCGGGCUCAACCUGGGAACGGCAUCCGGAACUGUCAAGCUAGAGUGCAGGAGAGGAAGGUAGAAUUCCCGGUGUAGCGGUGAAAUGCGUAGAGAUCGGGAGGAAUACCAGUGGCGAAGGCGGCCUUCUGGACUGACACUGACACUGAGGUGCGAAAGCGUGGGUAGCAAACAGGAUUAGAUACCCUUGUAGUC
rnacentral:rRNA from 1 species